rnacentral:rRNA from 1 species
GGAGGGUGCAAACGGUUGUCCGGAAUUACUGGGCGUAAAGGGCGCGUAGGCGGACUUGUAAGUCAGGAGUGAAAACUCAGGGGCUCAACCCUGAGCCUGCUUCUGAAACUGCAAGUCUUGAGGACCCGGAGAGGAAAGUGGAAUUCCUAGUGUAGCGGUGGAAUGCGUAGAUAUUAGGAAGAACACCAGUGGCGAAGGCGACUUUCUGGACGGUACCUGACGCUGAGGCGCGAAAGCUAGGGGAGCAAACAGGAUUAGAUACCCUGGUAGUCCUAGCUGUAAACGAUGAGUGCUAGGUGGUGGUAGUUUCAACGCUUUCACUGCCGAAGCUAACGCAUUAAGCACUCCGCCUGGGGAGUACGGCCGCAAGGUUG